rnacentral:rRNA from 1 species
GGUUUGAUUCUGGCUCAGAUUGAACGCUGGCGGGAUGUCUUUACACAUGCAAGUCAGACGGCGGCACGGACUUCGGUCUGGUGGCGAGUGGCGAACGGGUGAUAUUAUCGGAACGUGCCUAGUAGCGGGGAUAACUACGCGAAAGCGUAGCUAAUACCGCAUACGCCCUUCGAGGGGAAAGCGGGGGACCUUCGGGCCUCGCACUAUUAAACGGCCGAUAUCGAAGAAAGUUGGCUGGUGAGGUAACGGCUCACCAAGGCGACGAUCCGUAGCUGGUUUGAGAGGACGACCAGCCACACUGGGACUGAGACGGCCCAGACUCUACGGGAGGCAGCAGUGAAAUUUUGGACAAUGGGGGAAACCUGAUCCAGCCAUCCCGCGUGUGCGAUGAAGGCCUUCGGGUUGUAAAGCACUUUUGGCAGGAAAGAAACGGCACGGGAUAAUACCCCGUGCGCUGACGUACCUGCAGAAUAGGCACCGGCUAACUACGUGCCAGCAGCCGCGGUAAUACGUAAGUGCAAGCGUUAAUCGGAAUUACUGGGCGUAAAGCGUGCGCAGGCGGUUCCGGAAAGAAAAGAUGUGAAAUCCCAGAGCUUAACUUUGGAACUGCAUUUUAACUACCGAGCUAGAGUGUGUCAGAGGGAGGUGGAAUUCCGCGUGUAGCAGUGAAAUGCGUAGAUAUGCGGAGGAGCACCGAUGGCGAAAGGCAGCCUCCUGGGAUAACACUGACGCUCAUGCACGAAAAACGUGGGGAGCAAACAGGAUUAGAUACCCUGUUAGUCCACGCCCUAAACGAUGUCAACUAGCUGUUGGGGCCUUCGGGCCUUGGUAGCGCAACUAACGCGUGAAGUUGACCGCCUGGGGAGUACGGUCGCAAGAUUAAAACUCAAAGGAAUUGACGGGGACCCGCACAAGCGGUGGAUGAUGUGGAUUAAUUCGAUGCAACGCGAAAAACCUUACCUACCCUUGACAUGUCUGGAAUCCCGAAGAGAUUUGGGAGUGCUCGCAAGAGAACCGGAACACAGGUGCUGCAUGGCUGUCGUCAGCUCGUGUCGUGAGAUGUUGGGUUAAGUCCCGCAACGAGCGCAACCCUUGUCAUUAGUUGCUACGAAAGAGGCACUCUAAUGAGACUGCCGGUGACAAACCGGAGGAAGGUGGGGAUGACGUCAAGUCCUCAUGGCCCUUAUGGGUAGGGCUUCACACGUCAUACAAUGGUCGGGACAGGGGUCGCCAGCCCGCGAGGGGCGUUCCAAUCCCAGAAACCCGAUCGUAGUCCGGAUCGCAGUCUGCAACUCGACUGCGUGAAGUCGGAAUCGCUAGUAAUCGCGGAUCAGCAUGUCGCGGUGAAUACGUUCCCGGGUCUUGUACACACCGCCCGUCACACCAUGGGAGUGGGUUUUACCAAGAAGUAGUUAGCCUAACCGUAAGGAGGCGAUUACCACGGUAGGAUUCGCAGUGACUGGGGUGAAGUCGGCAACAAAAGGUAG